CAGUAAUCUAAUUUGUAAUGAAUAACUGAAAAAGAAAACAACUAAACAUUUACUUUGUGCUUGUUGUGGGCCUAUUCCAGAGCAUAGGCCUGGAGCUGUCGCUCAAACAGCCCCUUUGACAAUAUGACCGUAGAGCAGACUCAUUCUGCCCACCUGCUUAGAUGACUAAACUUCCCUAUAUGAUGUCAGUGGUGUGGGGUGGAACAGAAAUUGUAGGUUUCAAGGACACCUUUGCAGUGCCAGAACCACUACAACAAGCAGUGUUGGUUAUGGUGCUUGGAUUGUCU